AUUGAACGCUGGCGGCAGGCCUAACACAUGCAAGUCGAGCGGCAGCGGAAAGUAGCUUGCUACUUUGCCGGCGAGCGGCGGACGGGUGAGUAAUGUCUGGGGAUCUGCCUGAUGGAGGGGGAUAACUACUGGAAACGGUAGCUAAUACCGCAUAACGUCGCAAGACCAAAGCGGGGGACCUUCGGGCCUCGCGCCAUCAGAUGAACCCAGAUGGGAUUAGCUAGUAGGUGGGGUAAUGGCUCACCUAGGCGACGAUCUCUAACUGGUCUGAGAGGAUGACCAGUCACACUGGAACUGAGACACGGUCCAGACUCCUACGGGAGGCAGCAGUGGGGAAUAUUGCACAAUGGGCGCAAGCCUGAUGCAGCCAUGCCGCGUGUGUGAAGAAGGCCUUCGGGUUGUAAAGCACUUUCAGCGAGGAGGAAGGGGGUAAGGUGAAUAGCCUUAUUCAUUGACGUUACUCGCAGAAGAAGCACCGGCUAACUCCGUGCCAGCAGCCGCGGUAAUACGGAGGGUGCAAGCGUUAAUCGGAAUUACUGGGCGUAAAGCGCACGCAGGCGGUUUGUUAAGUCAGAUGUGAAAUCCCCGCGCUUAACGUGGGAACUGCAUUUGAAACUGGCAAGCUAGAGUCUUGUAGAGGGGGGUAGAAUUCCAUGUGUAGCGGUGAAAUGCGUAGAGAUGUGGAGGAAUACCGGUGGCGAAGGCGGCCCCCUGGACAAAGACUGACGCUCAGGUGCGAAAGCGUGGGGAGCAAACAGGAUUAGAUA
rnacentral:rRNA from 1 species